GUGGGGAAUUUUGGACAAUGGGCGAAAGCCUGAUCCAGCCAUGCCGCGUGCAGGAUGAAGGCCUUCGGGUUGUAAACUGCUUUUGUACGGAACGAAAAGACUCCUUCUAAUAAAGGGGGUCCAUGACGGUACCGUAAGAAUAAGCACCGGCUAACUACGUGCCAGCAGCCGCGGUAAUACGUAGGGUGCAAGCGUUAAUCGGAAUUACUGGGCGUAAAGCGUGCGCAGGCGGUUAUAUAAGACAGAUGUGAAAUCCCCGGGCUGAACCUGGGAACUGCAUUUGUGACUGUAUAGCUAGAGUACGGUAGAGGGGGAUGGAAUUCCGCGUGUAGCAGUGAAAUGCGUAGAUAUGCGGAGGAACACCGAUGGCGAAGGCAAUCCCCUGGACCUGUACUGACGCUCAUGCACGAAAGCGUGGGGAGCAAACAGGAUUAGAUACCCUUGUAGUCC
rnacentral:rRNA from 1 species